rnacentral:rRNA from 1 species
AUUGAACGCUGGCGGCAGGCCUAACACAUGCAAGUCGAGCGGAUCGGCGGUCGGGUGCGUAAUGCCUAUGAAUCUGCCUGGUAGUGGUGGAUAACGUCCGGAAACGGGCGCUAAUACCGCAUACUAUCAGCAUAGCCUAGGCCGGAUUAGCUAGGUGGUGGGGUAACGGCCUAGCAAGGCGACGAUCCGUAGCUGGUCUGAGAGGGUGAGCGGCCACACUGGGACUGAGACACGGCCCAGACGCCGACGGGAGGCAGCAGUGGGGAAUAUUGGGCAAUGGACGAAAGUCUGACCCAGCAACGCCGCGUGUGUGAAGAAGGUUUUCGGAUCGUAAAGCUCUUUUGUUAGGGAAGCGUUAUCUAACCAGAAAGCCACGGCUAACUACGUGCCAGCCGCCGCGGUAAUUC